CCCUUAGAUGUCCGGGGCCGCACGCGCGCUACACUGAAGGAAUCAGCGUGGCUUUCUCCCUGACCCGAAAGGGUUGGGAAACCCGUUGAAUCUCCUUCGUGAUAGGGAUUGGGGCUUGAAAUUGUUCCCCAUGAACGAGGAAUUCCCAGUAAGCGCGAGUCAUAAGCUCGCGUUGAUUACGUCCCUGCCCUUUGUACACACCGCCCGUCGCACCUACCGAUUGAGUGUUCCGGUGAAGCCUCGGGAUUGCAGCUGUUUCCUUUAUUGGGUACAGCCGUGAGAACUUGUCUGAACCUUAACACUUAGAGGAAGGUGAAGUCGUAACA
rnacentral:rRNA from 1 species